rnacentral:snoRNA from 1 species
AAGACUAUACUUUCAGGGAUCAUUUCUAUAGUUCGUUACUAGAGAAGUCUCUCUGAAUGUGUAAAACUUGUGGAUUUGAUGUUGGGUAAAAUAUAUAAUUCUUUGAUAAAU